GACCAAUAAUAAUAUAAUUAAGGCAUGUUUCUCAAAACAUUCCUAUUUGCCGCCUGAGAGCUUUCACCGAGCCAGGCUUGAGAGCUAAUAUAAUGUUGUUAAAUCCUUCAUUGGAUGGUUGAUGGC